CUGUGAAGAUGGAUUUUGGAUGACGUCAUGCACUGCUUGAGGAAGUGAGAAGCCCAGAAGGCCCAAAUGGAAGCUUGGGGUCGGAAAUUGGGAUGGUCAGAGAGACGACAGUUUUGCUUCUUGAACCCCCAAGAUGCAGGAGAUGCAGAGUUAACAGAAGCCUAGAUGAGAACGACUUACCGCUGGGGGCAGGGGACCAGGCCAUCAGGAUUCUCCGGUCCUCCCCUUUGAGUCAGAGAGAGAAAUUUCCCCGGGAGACAUGCUCCCACAUUCUGACCAUUGCAAGUCUUACUUCCACUGUAGCCAUGUGACUUGUUCUCAUCAAUGACAUGUGAGUGGAAGUGAAGUGUGAUGAUUGUGGGUCAACUUUUAAGAAGCAAUGAAACCUUUCCACUUUUUUGUUUUCUUUCCACUUGCCAUAAAGAGGCCCCAGGGGAUGGUAGGGCCACAAGAUGGAAGGAACUUGGGUUCCUGUGUCACCACAUGGAGAAAAGCUGCCUGUCCACCAGGAACACUGAGAUUAACUGAGGAUAGGAUCUGCAUGGCCCUCUGAAGGCUUUCCUAGCCCAGUCCUGCCUCCUCAGCCUUUAUCGUUCAUAGCUAUGGCCCUCCAGCAAAUCUUUCACUCCUGACUCCAGCUCUGCAUCUAAGUCCAGCAUCUGCUUCCUCGACGACCCAUAUCGACAUAGAAGCACAAAAUGGUGGAAGAGUCUGUAAAAACUGAGAAACCAUAGAGGAAAAACUAAUGAAAGACGGGAGACGAAAGAGAAAGCAGCAUGGAAAGCACAUUCAAUAGUAACAAAGAUGGACAGAUAACCCUGAAAAAAGAAGGGGAUGAUUGGAAACAAGAUGACUGCUUUCUAGAAGUCCUGGCUGUUAGUAAUCAAUAAAGUCUGAUGAAUGUGGAAAAACAGAACGCAGUAAAAAUGUGUUACAGCUGGGUGUCUUGCAAUGCAAGCGAGUGUGAAUUAAGUGCUAAACACAUAAAUAUACGAAAGUAGUUGUGUCUGUUGUAACUCAUGCCAGUACAGGAACUUUUAAGAGUUGCUAAUAAAAUAUUAAUGCAUUUUA